UCCGUAGGUGGAUAAUUAAGUCAGAGGUGAAAUCCUGCAGCUCAACUGUAGAAUUGCCUUUGAUACUGGUUAUCUUGAGUCAUUAUGAAGUGGUUAGAAUGUGUAGUGUAGCGGUGAAAUGCAUAGAUAUUACACAGAAUACCGAUUGCGAAGGCAGAUCACUAAUAAUGUACUGACACUGAGGGACGAAAGCGUGGGGAGCAAACAGGAUUAGAUACCCUGGUAGUCC
rnacentral:rRNA from 1 species